AUGCCUUUUAUUAAGCCGGACCGGACCCAUUCUAUUCAUUAUAUAGUAAAUUUCUCUCAUUGUCUUCAAAUGUUUUAUGAACUAUUGAAUUCGGAUGAGUAAGAGUAGGGAAAACAUAAGUCUGUUUGUAGUGUCAAGUAUCAAAAGUUGUUAAACAUUAAAUUCAAAAAUUUUGGCGUUCAUGUAACAAAAUGAAAUAUUUAACUUUUUAAUGACUAAAAAAUGAUUUACUUAAGUUUUCUAAACUAUGCCAAUAUUAAAGUUAACAGAAUCGUCAAAUUUUCAGGAAAUUUUAGUAUGCCAUACUCUCGUUAGAUAUGUUUGCAGCAAUAUU